rnacentral:rRNA from 1 species
AGCUCGUGUCGUGAGAUGUUGGUUAAGUCCCGCAACGAGCGCAACCCCUACUUGCCAGUUGCUAACAGGAGAGCUGAGCACUCUGGCGAGACUGCCGCCGACAAGGCGGAGGGAAGGUGGGGAUGACGUCAAGUCAUCAUGGCCUUUAUGCCCAGGGCUACACACGUGCUACAAUGGCCGGCACAGACGGCAGCUUAGUGGCGACACUUGGCAAAUCCUCUAAAGCCGGUCCCAGUUCGGAUUGUAGUCUGCAACUCGACUACAUGAAGCCGGAAUCGCUAGUAAUCGCAGAUCAGCCAAGCUGCGGUGAAUACGUUCCCGGGCCUU